rnacentral:rRNA from 1 species
GCUGUGGAUAGGGGUGAAAGGCUAAACAAAUCCGGAAAUAGCUGGUUCUCCCCGAAAACUAUUUAGGUAGUGCGUCUUGUAUCACUUGCGGGGGUAAAGCACUGUUAUGGCUAGGGGGUCAUCGCGACUUACCAAACCAUGGCAAACUCUGAAUACCGCAAAGUGCGAGCAAGGCAGACAGACAGUGGGUGCUAACGUCCAUUGUCAAGAGGGAAACAACCCAGACCGCCAGCUAAGGUCCCAAAUCCAUGGCUAAGUGGAAAACGAGGUGGGAAGGCAUAGACAGCUAGGAGGUUGGCUUAGAAGCAGCCACCCUUUAAAGAAAGCGUAAUAGCUCACUAGUCGAGUCGUCCUGCGCGGAAGAUGUAACGGGGCUCAAGCCAUGAACCGAAGCUGCGGAUGCAUUUUAUGCAUGGUAGGGGAGCGUUCUGUAAGUCUGUGAAGGUGUCUUGUAAAGGAUGCUGGAGAUAUCAGAAGUGCG